UUUGGUUAGCAUAAAAGAGAUUUAUGAAUUUCACGUUAUAUAAUGGUUAACAAAUAAAAUACAAGAAUUUCACAUUAUAAUGUUGACAAAAUUAAAUUACUUAUGUUCUACUUUUAAUUACACUGAUACAAUUUAUGAUUAAAAAUCACCACAAUAUUUAUCGUGUUCUGCAGAUGAUAUAAGUUGCAGGUUGGGAGACAGUGUCAAUGUGGAUAUAGUAGUGGACCGUUUGACCCUUCGCUCUAAAAUAUUGGCAUUGGUAUCAAAUCGAGCCUCUACGUAGUAACUGAUCAUGAUCCUCCAUCGUCCCUUCACUGUCAGUUGAGCCUCCAUCAUCACAAAGCAAAUGUUGGAAUUUGUCAAGAAAUAUCAUAUUCAUUUGAAGAAUGAAGGGAAAAGUUGAUUAGAUUAGACUAGCUAAGAAAGACUAAGUGAAUUACCUGGACACGAUCACCUUUUUUAUGAAAGUUGAUCUGCUUCCUAAUUAAUAAACUUCAUAUGAAAACAUAUAGGUCAAGAAUCAAGAUGUUGAAUUCCAUGCAAACCCUUGUCAAAUGAACAGUCUCUUGCUUGUACUUCAGGUUCGCUGUCUGUUCGACCUAUCAACAUUCCAUGGUAGCAGGCUAGCUAGCUAGUCACUACUCGGUCCCUCCUAGCCACAUUAUUUUUCUAAUUAAGGAUGUACUUAUACGGCUCAUGCUAAUUAUUCUGCAGUUCGAAAGCAAGAAAAUGCUUUUGUGGAAGCAACUUAAUCUAAAUUGGUAACUAGAUUGGUUUCACAUCCAAUUAAUUAGUACAGUGAGUUCAGGUAUUUGAUAUUAAAGAUGAUUAUAUGUCUUGGUAAAAACAAAAUGAGCAUAAGGCUGCCUACUUUUUGGACUGGAUUUGGGUGUGUAACCUACAUAUAUACACCUGAAAAAUCGAUACCGGGCUGCAACUGCAAAACCUAGGGUAAAAGUCCAACGACUAUCAAAGUUAUGUUAGAUUACCGCAAAAGGGGUACUUAGAAACUUAUAGCCAGCCUAUUACUAUUUUUUCAAUUGCUUUCUUCUUCAUAUUUCGAAAGGAAAAGAAGGAGCCAAAAGAUAUACCUAAACCACUUUCCAAAUGAAUUAUCCAAUAAAUGCAUAAACAGGAUUAAGAUUGGGAGUUUUAAUUUACUUUCUUCUUUCUAGGUUAAUGACUCUUUUAUGCAUUAAAGUAACUCUAUAAUUUAGGUUACGAGGUCAAAUACCAAGAUGCUACACAAUAUAUAGUUAUCUAUAAUACGAAGCUGCCUUGUUUAAUUUGUUAGAUGGUCAAUCAAGUUGAUUAAUCUAUAUAAAAAAACAUGAUUACUUUCUAAUUAGGGUUUUCAGGGGUACUAUAUACCUAGCCUUUACCGUAGUUUCAGGUCGAACAGACAACGAAACUAAGAUUAAUUUGCAAAGGACUGCUCACUUGACAAGCAUAGCAUGGAAUCCACUCACCCGUAUCAUCAAAACAUGUCAAAUACAUCCCUCGCCAUCUUCGACCAUGGUUGUUCUAUACCUCUUUAUUUCCUGCAAAAAAAAAACACACACACACACAGAGCAAACAUAGUGAUCUGGAUUAAGUACAUAAAUCGAACUAAAUAAUAAGCAAAACUACGUAUUCGGAAGAACGUAUAUACGUACGCCAAAGCUGAAGAAGAGAGGAAGACAAGAACCUGAUCUUUUAAGGAAGAGACCUAACUAGGAGGUGUAAUAUAGUUGCUGGGUUGAGCUUCAUUUUAUAGAGAUAAGAAGGAACCUUGCUAUCCUUUUUCAAGCUAUUACAAUUGUUAAUUAUUGUGUGAGGGUGCGAAUUCUAUACGGAUCUUCAUAUCAGCUAAAUCCUUACACGUGACAGAUCAUUGACUAACCGGUAUUUAGUUGUUUAUGUUUCCAUCUCAUAAAAAAAUUAAUUAUAGAUAAGAUCGAUUGAUGGAGGAUCAAUCGACGACGUAAAUUGUAGCUGCUAUUUUAGAUUAGGAUUUAGAACCAGAUUAUACUAAUCCGACAUUCUUGUAAAAAUGUUAACGUGGUGGACCAGGUUGAUGUACCUACUUUAUGGCAAGCUGACUUUAAUUAAUUCAUUAGCUAGCUUCACUCGAAUUAGUAAUUGUACAUAUGCUAUGUAUGUGCUUAUUAAAAUUUUACAAAAUUUACAAAGAAAGAAAAUAUAAAAUAGCGGCUAAAGCUUUCUAGUGACGACCUUCAAAAGAGUAUUUGUUGCUGAAAGGUUGUUCAUAUCUUUAGCGACUGUUUUUAGAUAACUAUUUCAUCACUAAAAAUUCAUUUUAUUCUGUAGAAAAACGUAGAAGAGGAAAUGGAAGCAACUAAUAUGGUUGCUAGGCUCUGAGGCAUAAUCAAAUUAUUUUGUGUAUAAUUUACUAUAUUGCCCGUGAUUUUUAUUUAAGUUACUUUUCUUUAGUUUUGUUGACAAGGUUCACUUGGUAUUUUCAUCUUCUUUUGAUUGACAAAAAAGAUUUUGUUAAUUGGUAAUUUAGAUUACGAACAAGGAGCUCGAACUCG
rnacentral:lncRNA from 1 species